GGGGGGCCAUCAAUGCGCGAAGCGCGAUGAGGGAUCCCAAGUGCUUGCACGUAAGUGCAAGCUGUUUCUAUGUCUAAAACGCAUAGAGAGUAAGAGCUGGGUAAGACGGGUGCCAGCCGCCGCGGUAAUACCUGCAGCUCUAGUGGUGGCCGCUAUUAUUGGGCCUAAAACGUCCGUAGCCGGCUUAUUAAAUGCCUGGGUAAAUCGUACGGCUUAACCGUACGAAUUCCGGGUAGACUGAUAGGCUUGGGACCGGGAGAAGCUAGAGGUACUCUUGGGGUAGAGGUGAAAUCCUGUAAUCC
rnacentral:rRNA from 1 species